rnacentral:rRNA from 1 species
ACAGGAUUCCCCUAGUAACGGCGAGUGAAGCGGGAUGAGCUCAAAUUUAAAAUCUGGUGGUCUUUGGCCAUCCGAGUUGUAAUCUAGAGAAGUGUUUUCCGUGCUGGACCGUGUACAACUUUCCUGGAACGGAACGUCAUAGAGGGUGAGAAUCCCGUCCUUGACAUGGACUACCAGUGCUCUGUGAUACACUCUCAACGAGUCGAGUUGUUUGGGAUUGCAGCUCAAAAUGGGAGGUAAAUUCCAUCUAAAGCUAAAUAUUGGGGAGAGACCGAUAGCGAACAAGUACCGUGAGGGAAAGAUGAAAAGAACUUUGGAAAGAGAGUUAAACAGUACGUGAAAUUGUUGAAAGGGAAACGCUUGAAGUCAGUCGCGUCGUUCAAGACUCACCCUUGCUCUGCUUGGUGUACUUCUUGUUCGACGGGUCAGCAUCAAUUUUGGUCGGUGGAUAAAGGCUCAGAGAAUGUGGCAUCUUCGGGUGUGUUAUAGCUUUGGGUCGCAUACAUCGGCUGGGAUUGAGGAACUCAGCACGCCGCAGGGCCGGGUACUUGUACCACGUACGUGCUUAAGAUGCUGGCAUAAUGGCUUUAAUCGA